AGCUAGGCAGGGUGGCACAUGACUGGCUAUUAAGGAGGCUCAGGUGGAGGGAUCUCUUCAGCCCAGGAAUUUAAGGCUUCAGUGAGCUAAGAUUGGGCCAUUGCACUCCAGCCAGGGCAACAGACCAAGACCCAGUCUCAAAAUAAAUAAAUAAAAAUGAAAGAAAGCAGUGCACUGAAAAUCAAUUUAAGUAUUUACUGGAGUUGUCUUGAAGGCCCAAUGGGAAAUGUCAGUAAGGGCACAUGAGAAAACACUUUAAGAACCUAUUCUUCCAAAGAUCUUUCCAGUAUCUUAUGACAACACAGUAAAUUAUACCCACUCCAAAUGCAAAAGCUGAAACUACUCUGCUUUCUCACUUAACUACACUUUUGACUUUCGAAAUACAUUUCUCUCUUCGGAUAUGAGCUGCAAACUCCUUAUAUAAAGGCUCCAACUCUGCAGCCCUAAUUAUUCUAGUUGGCCCAAGAAAAAUCCUAAUUGUUUUAUCUAAGGAGACGGAAUUUUCCAAUACUGUAGAGGCAUGUGUGUGUGUUUGCUUUAAGGAAGCUGUUUUGGUAAUAAAAAGUCACUGAGGGUCAUAAAUUCAUGUUAACACAUCCAGUGUACAUGAAGUAGGCACCGAGUUAAACUAUUUGUCUACUAUAUAGCAUGUCAUCUUAAAAGCCUUAUUUUUUCCUCAAAAUAUUAACUUUAUUUUUCUCCCUGUAAAAUCAAGACACAGUUAAAAUGUAGCCUUCCUCAUUUUCUGGGAAUACUUUCUAACAAGAUAUGCUUCUUUCCAAUUGGACUUCUAAAUUUCUAGCAAUUCUAACAGUGCAUAAAAGAGGCAACCCCAAAAGUGUAGCAGGUACUGAAUAACAGAUUUGCAGCCUUGGGUAUCCACAUUAAAAUUUGAAAUCUAAGUGAAUUACUUCAAGCUGAUUUCUUAGGUCAAGGAGAGAUUAUGGUCCUUAAAUGCCUGAUAAGGUCACAUACACAAUUUCAAGUGCAUUAUAGUAAAUCCAUGUGACAGCUCCUACAGCUACUAACCUGCUUCUGCCCUCACGGUAGCGUG
rnacentral:lncRNA from 10 species